rnacentral:tRNA from 1 species
GGAGGUCUAGCUCAGUGGUAGAGCAUGUGCGUAGCAUGCAGGAGGUCCUGGGUUCAAUCCCCAGUACUUCCA